CGGGGGGAAGGAGGAAAAACACCCACAGCCUUAUGUCUCCGCGCUUGUUGGGAACUUGAACUCGGCUCCCAGGGGCCGGUGGAAAACGCUGCUAAUCAGCUGAGCAUUUCGGAGCCUCGCUGGAGCAAGGCAGAAAUGAUCUCAUGUUUUGUCUAAUCUAAAUUCUGUCAAGCAAGCAGAGAGAAAGAAAAAAAGACAGACGGAAAGCGAGCAAGGGAAGGCUACACAGUUAAUAAAAAUCUGCUAGACACAUGUUCGGAGCUGGGAGACCGGGAAGGGGAGAGCCGAGCGCCGGCGGUGCCGAGCCCUAGGCCGGGCUGAAAUGCGUGCCAGGCUCUGGGAGCUGGGGUGAGCUGCAGCCUCCCAGCCCCACGGGGACAUUUCUCCACCUGCCAGGGGCAGGGCACACGGCUGGGGGCUGUGGGGUGUCCCUGCUGCCAGCCCGCUGCGGUCACCGCUGGGUGCCGACCAGCCUGGGGGAGAGGCUGGAGCUGGAGCCCAUGACCUCUGCCCGUGCUUCCAGUUCCCCCAGUCAGGACUGGGGGAGCUGACUGGCCUGGCAGAGGCUUGCCCUCCUCUGUGUGGCACGUUGCUUUUUUCUGCUUGCCCAGCUGGAGCAGGAGAGAUGCUUCUGGGGCUGUGUGCGCAGGGAGCUGGGGGAGGCAGAGGAAAGCCUUUUCUUGCCAUUCUCCUCCUCCAAAUCCUCACCGUUCUCAUCCGUCCUUCUCACCUGAUGGAUUCACUGGCUUUUGGUUAAAAUACACUUUCUCAGCCUUUUCA